rnacentral:miRNA from 1 species
AUUCGACCCUGAUAUCAGAGAGCAAAGACUCGCCAUUCCUGGGAUCAUCUCAGGAAUGGCGAGUCUUUGCUCUGUGAU